UCAACCGGGGAGGGUCAUUGGAAACUGGGAAACUUGAGUGCAGAAGAGGAGAGUGGAAUUCCACGUGUAGCGGUGAAAUGCGUAGAGAUGUGGAGGAACACCAGUGGCGAAGGCGACUCUCUGGUCUGUAACUGACGCUGAGGAGCGAAAGCGUGGGGAGCGAACAGGAUUAGAUACCCUGGUAGUCCACGCCGUAAACGAUGAGUGCUAAGUGUUAGGGGGUUUCCGCCCCUUAGUGCUGCAGCUAACGCAUUAAGCACUCCGCCUGGGGAGUACGGUCGCAAGACUGAAACUCAAAGGAAUUGACGGGGGCCCGCACAAGCGGUGGAGCAUGUGGUUUAAUUCGAAGCAACGCGAAGAACCUUACCAGGUCUUGACAUCCUCUGACAACCCUAGAGAUAGGGCUUUCCCUUCGGGGACAGAGUGACAGGUGGUGCAUGGUUGUCGUCAGCUCGUGUCGUGAGAUGUUGGGUUAAGUCCCGCAACGAGCGCAACCCUUGAUCUUAGUUGCCAGCAUUUAGUUGGGCACUCUAAGGUGACUGCCGGUGACAAACCGGAGGAAGGUGGGGAUGACGUCAAAUCAUCAUGCCCCUUAUGACCUGGGCUACACACGUGCUACAAUGGACAGAACAAAGGGCUGCGAGACCGCAAGGUUUAGCCAAUCCCAUAAAUCUGUUCUCAGUUCGGAUCGCAGUCUGCAACUCGACUGCGUGAAGCUGGAAUCGCUAGUAAUCGCGGAU
rnacentral:rRNA from 1 species